rnacentral:rRNA from 1 species
UGCUAUGGCCAUGCCACCGUGAACAAGCCCAAUGUCUGAUCUCGGAAGCUAAGCAGGAUUGGGCCUGGUUAGUACUUGGAUGGAAGACCACCUAGGAAGACCAGGUGCUGUAGGCA